rnacentral:lncRNA from 1 species
GCACUGAGUCAACAGACUGAGCGCGUCCAGGCCUGACAGCUCUGCGGCUCGGGCCCUGAGAGACAGCGUCUCGGGCUAGAGUGCAGUGGUGCGAUCAAAGUUCACUGCAGCCUUGAACGUCUGGACUCUAGGGACCCUGCUGAAUAGCUGGGGCUACAGGCGUGUGUCACUGCGCCCAGCUGGAAUGAAACCUCUGAAGAAUCGAGAUAGCUCCAAUAGAGGUCCACAGGCAGAAAGGAUUUCAAGGAUCUUCAAAGGGUAAAUGUACCCUGGAAGAGGGAUACUGGACCUGUGAUAGUAGAGACGGGGUUUUGCCAUGUUGGCCAAGCUGGUCUCAAACCCCUGACCUCAAGUGAUCCACCCGCCUUGGCUUCCCAAAGUGCUGGGAAUACAGGCAUGAGCCACUGCACCUAGCCACUUCAUUCCUUUCUAUGGCUGAAUAAUAAUUGUAUGUAUAUGCCACAGUUUGUUCAUUUAUCUGUCGGUAAGUAUUUGGGCUGUUUCUACCUUUCUGCUAUUCUGAAUAGCACUACUGUGAACGUGUGUGAACAUGUACUCAAUUGAGUCCUUAUGUUCAUUUCUUUUGGGUGUAUACCUAGGAGUGGAAUUGUGAGGUCAUAUAGUAAAACUG